rnacentral:RNase_P_RNA from 1 species
GGAUAGGUAGAAGGUGGUUGCCCCUCAUACGGGGGGAGGAAAGUCCGGGCUCCGGAGGAUAGCGUAGUGGGUAAUGCCCAUCCCCCACACCCAGUUAGCUGGGUGUGGGGCGGAUAAUCCUUCGGCAUAGACUCGAAAGAGCCGAUGCCUCGGGAUCCCGAGCGGCAAGCUUGUAAAAAAGUGAGACGCGAGGGAGAGCCACAGAGACGAGUCUCUCCGCCAGAGGCGGAGAGGGUGAAACGAGGUAAUCUCUACGCGGAGCAAGGUCAAAUAGUCCCGUCCAUCUUGCUAUAUAGCAAGAUAAGAGUUAUCCGCUCGAAAGCCUCAAGAGUUUUUUGAGGAUGGACGGGAGGGUUGACUGCAAAAGACACCAGAGCAAUCAGGUGGAUUAGAGAAAUGAUCACUAAGAUGCGGAUAAUCGCAUCAAAACAGAACCCGGCUUAUUUUACCUAUCCUGUU